rnacentral:rRNA from 1 species
CCUACGGGAGGCAGCAGUGAGGAAUAUUGGUCAAUGGACGAGAGUCUGAACCAGCCAAGUAGCGUGAAGGAUGACUGCCCUAUGGGUUGUAAACUUCUUUUAUAAAGGAAUAAAACGAGGCACGUGUGCCUUUUUGCAUGUACUUUAUGAAUAAGGAUCGGCUAACUCCGUGCCAGCAGCCGCGGUAAUACGGAGGAUGCGAGCGUUAUCCGGAUUUAUUGGGUUUAAAGGGAGCGUAGAUGGGUUGUUAAGUCAGUUGUGAAAGUUUGCGGCUCAACCGUAAAAUUGCAAUUGAUACUGGCAGUCUUGAGUACAGGUGAGGUAGGCGGAAUUCGUGGUGUAGCGGUGAAAUGCUUAGAUAUCACGAAGAACCCCGAUUGCGAAGGCAGCUUACUAAACUGUGACUGACAUUGAUGCUCGAAAGUGUGGGUAGCAAACAGGAUUAGAUACCCUAGUAGUC